CUACGUAGGGGGCGAGCGUUGUCCGGAAUGAUUGGGCGGAAAGGGCGCGUAGGCGGCCCGGUAAGUCUGGAGUGAAAGUCCUGUUUUUAAGAUGGGAAUUGCUUUGGAUACUGUCGGGCUUGAGUGCAGGAGAGGUAAGUGGAAUUCCCAGUGUAGAGGUGAAAUGCCUAGAGAUUGGGAGGAACACCAGUGGCGAAGGCGACUUACUGGACUGUAACUGACGCUGAGGCGCGAAAGUGUGGGGAGCAAACAGGAUUAGAUACCCUGGUAGUCCACACUGUAAACGAUGAAUGCUAGGUGUAGGGGGUAUCGACCCCUUCUGUGCCGCAGUCAACACAAUAAGCAUUCCGCCUGGGGAGUACGGCCGCAAGGUUGAAACUCAAAUGAAUUGACGGGG
rnacentral:rRNA from 1 species